CGAACGCUGGCGGCAUGCCUAACACAUGCAAGUCGAACGAUCCCUUCGGGGAUAGUGGCGCACGGGUGCGUAACGCGUGGGAACCUGCCCUUAGGUUCGGAAUAACUCAGAGAAAUUUGAGCUAAUACCGGAUAAUGUCUUCGGACCAAAGAUUUAUCGCCUUUGGAUGGGCCCGCGUUGGAUUAGCUAGUUGGUGGGGUAAAGGCCUACCAAGGCGACGAUCCAUAGCUGGUCUGAGAGGAUGAUCAGCCACACUGGGACUGAGACACGGCCCAGACUCCCCGGGGGAGGCGGGGGGGGGAAAUUUUGGAAAAGGGGAGAAAGCUGGACCCACAAAGGCCGGGGGAGGGAUGAAGGCUUUGGGUUUUUAAACCUUUUUUCCCCGGGUUGAAAUGAACGGUACGGGGGAAAAAACCCCCGCCAACCCCCGG
rnacentral:rRNA from 1 species